rnacentral:rRNA from 1 species
GGCAGUGGGGCAGCUAUACAUGCAGUCGAGCGGACAGAUGGGAGCUUGCUCCCUGAUGUUAGCGGCGGACGGGUGAGUAACACGUGGGUAACCUGCCUGUAAGACUGGGAUAACUCCGGGAAACCGGGGCUAAUACCGGAUGCUUGUUUGAACCGCAGGUUCAAACAUAAAAGGUGGCUUCGGCUACCACUUACAGAUGGACCCGCGGCGCAUUAGCUAGUUGGUGAGGUAACGGCUCACCAAGGCAACGAUGCGUAGCCAACCUGAGAGGGUGAUCGGCCACACUGGGACUGAGACACGGCCCAGACUCCUACGGGAGGCAGCAGUAGGGAAUCUUCCGCAAUGGACGAAAGUCUGACGGAGCAACGCCGCGUGAGUGAUGAAGGUUUUCGGAUCGUAAAGCUCUGUUGUUAGGGAAGAACAAGUACCGUUCAAAUAGGGCGGUACCUUGACGGUACCUAACCAGAAAGCCACGGCUAACUACGUGCCAGCAGCCGCGGUAAUACGUAGGUGGCAAGCGUUGUCCGGAAUUAUUGGGCGUAAAGGGCUCGCAGGCGGUUCCUUAAGUCUGAUGUGAAAGCCCCCGGCUCAACCGGGGAGGGUCAUUGGAAACUGGGGAACUUGAGUGCAGAAGAGGAGAGUGGAAUUCCACGUGUAGCGGUGAAAUGCGUAGAGAUGUGGAGGAACACCAGUGGCGAAGGCGACUCUCUGGUCUGUAACUGACGCUGAGGAGCGAAAGCGUGGGGAGCGAACAGGAUUAGAUACCCUGGUAGUCCACGCCGUAAACGAUGAGUGCUAAGUGUUAGGGGGGUUUCCGCCCCUUAGUGCUGCAGCUAACGCAUUAAGCACUCCGCCUGGGGGAGUACGGUCGCAAGACUGAAACUCAAAGGAAUUGACGGGGGCCCGCACAAGCGGUGGAGCAUGUGGUUUAAUUUCGAAGCAACGCGAAGAACCUUACCAGGUCUUGGACAUCCUCUGACAUCCCUAGAGAUAGGGACGU